CCUACGGGGCGCACCAGUGGGGAAUAUUGCACAAUGGGCGCAAGCCUGAUGCAGCCAUGCCGCGUGUGUGAAGAAGGCCUUCGGGUUGUAAAGCACUUUCAGCGGGGAGGAAGGCGAUAAGGUUAAUAACCUUGUCGAUUGACGUUACCCGCAGAAGAAGCACCGGCUAACUCCGUGCCAGCAGCCGCGGUAAUACGGAGGGUGCAAGCGUUAAUCGGAAUUACUGGGCGUAAAGCGCACGCAGGCGGUCUGUCAGGUCGGGUGUGAAAUCCCCGGGCUUAACCUGGGAACUGCAUUCGAAACUGGCAGGCUAGAGUCUUGUAGAGGGGGGUAGAAUUCCAGGUGUAGCGGUGAAAUGCGUAGAGAUCUGGAGGAAUACCGGUGGCGAAGGCGGCCCCCUGACAAAGACUGACGCUCAGGUGCGAAAGCGUGGGGAGCAAACAGGAUUAGAUACCCGGGUAGUC
rnacentral:rRNA from 1 species